rnacentral:rRNA from 1 species
UAAGUUAUACUGCAAAGAAGUUGUAUUUAAUUUUUAAUAUUUUACCUUUUGCAUAAUGGUUUAAUAAUAUAAUGUAUAAAUUUUGCAUCCCGAAAUUAGAAGAUCUAAUAUUAUUAAUUUUUUAGAACUAAUUGUAUAAUGUUUCAAAAUUAUAUUAAUAAAUAAUAUUAGGGGUGAAAGGCUUAACAAUUCUAAUGAUAUCUGGAAUAACUUUAAAUGUAUUUAGUACAGAAUAAAAUUUGAGUAAAAAAAUGUUAAGAUUUUUUUAUUUAUAGAAUAAUAUAUUGAAAUAUUUAUAUGAAAUAAACUUCCAAUAUUUAUAUUAACAUAUAAUUUAUUAUUUUACAUAUCUAAUUAAUAAAGUUACAUCGCAUUUAAACUAAAAUUUUAAAUUAAUUAUGUUAAAAUUAGUAUAAUAAUUUUAUUUAAUUAAGGAACUCGGCUAACCAUUAUUUACCUGUUUAUCAAAAACAUAGUCUUAUGAAAUAUAUAUAAGGUGAAACCUGCCCACUGAUAUUAAUUAAACGGCCGCAGUACCUUGACUGUGCUAAGGUAGCAUAAUAAAUUGACUUUUAAUUGGAGCCUUGAAUGAAUGGAACCAUAAAUAAUCUCUGUCUCAAUUAAACACUUACAAGUUACUUAAAAGGUGAAAAUUCCUUUAAUAUAUAAAAUAGACGAGAAGACCCUAGGAGUUUUAAUUUUUGUUGGGGCGACAAUAUAGCAUAUAACCUAUAUAAUAAAUAAUUUAUAAAACGAAUAAAUUUUAAUACUAAAUAAGCUACCCUAGGGAUAACAGCAUAAUUUAAUUUAAGUUUGUGACCUCGAUGUUGGACUAGGAACUUUUAAUAUUAACAAUAUAAC